rnacentral:piRNA from 1 species
UAGGAUCUCAUAGCCCACCCCACAGUGUGU